rnacentral:rRNA from 1 species
UACGUAGGGUCCGAGCGUUGUCCGGAAUCACUGGGCUUAAAGUGUGUGUAGGCGGAUCGGUAAGUACCUUGUGAAAUCCCACAGCUUAACUGUGGAACUGCUUGGUAUACUGCCAGUCUUGAGCCACUUAGGGGCUACCGGAACAAAUGGUGGAGCGGUGAAAUGCGUAGAUAUCAUUUGGAACGCCAAUGGUGAAAACAGGUAGCUGGGAGUGUGCUGACGCUGAGACACGAAAGCCAGGGGAGCAAACGGG